rnacentral:tRNA from 1 species
AGAUUUCAUCCAAAUCAAAUGGAGUAGUAGUAUAGGAACUUUUUUGAUUUCAUCGAAGUUGAAGAAUCAAAGAAUUUAUCCUACAGG